UCCACCUUGUCUACCGGCUUCAUGGUUUUCUCACUACAAAAAGUUUACUGAAUUAGACAGUCUGAAACAUUUUAAAAAAUUAUUUAAAAACAACACUGACAAAAUAUUAACAUAAAACACUCUAAUUCAACGUGGAAAUAAACCAAACCAAAAUGUUGACAGUGAAGAUUUAAUGGAGAGGCAGUUAGUAUCACACACUGAGGUUCAGUCUUAAGAUGUACAUAUUAAAAACCUUUCAUUUUAAAAUUUAUUUAUACAAUAUUACUUUUUUUUGUUCAAUAUACUUUGCUUAAAAAAGAUGGAGACAAAAAGAGUUCUCUGAGCUAUGAAAAAAAUUAAGUUCUUACACGCACGUUUAUGGUUUCAUUCUAGAAACGCCUCAGGUUCACAGGUUGAACAUUCAGCCGCUGUGUUAUUUAAAAAACAAAGCAUUCUUUGACAUUGGGAAAACCGGAUCUCUCUUUCUGGGGCAGAGUUCACUUGAUGAGGACCAUGUGGUUAUGCAAAUUACAGGGGAUUAUUCCAGAAAAUGUAUGCGCACCUGCGUCACAGGUGAGGCUUUCUUCCCUGGCCGCUCCUCUUGGCGAAGCUCCUCCUCCGAGGUCGGGUCCCUGGUGACAGAGCCGGAGAGGCAGGGGCCCGACAGGACAGAGGGAGACUGCUGGCGUCUCCCACCUGGAGAAGCAGGGUUCUAGGGACGGAGCUAGUGCGGAACAAGACUUAAGACCACCCUUUCCUCUUGAAUGGCACGAAUGGAACCUUGCUAUCACCAGGUGGCAACUCACAAUUUUGCAGGAAGAGAAGCCCAUAACCUAGACACAGGAGAAGCAGACAUCAUCUGUGGCAGAAGAAGCACAGCUGGUGGGAGAAGAGUCCUGAGAGACACACAGAGCUAGUCUUCCUUGCAAUCUGUGGACUCUCCAGUUGGAGCUCAUGAUCUUAGUUGCCUCAAGGCCUGUGGGAUCUUAGUUCCCCGACCAGGGGUCAAACCUACCAGUUAUAAAGCCCAUCUCCUGCGUUGGAAGGUGAAUUCUCAACCAUCAGGCCAUCAGAGAAGUCCCUCAAAUUAAAGACAUCUUAAUAAUUGCUGUCAAAAGUUCUCCCUACUCUGUUCAGUUCUAUUCACAGGAAACUUUCCACCAUCUUUGUUCUAAGGAAUUCCCUACUUGACAAAUUUCCUGUGACUGGACCUUGAGAGAAAACUGGUAUUCAUGACAGGGUGAUGUAUUCAUGUUAACUUAAAAGUUUGAAAGGCUUU